UACGGAGGGUGCAAGCGUUAUCCGGAUUCACUGGGUUUAAAGGGUGCGUAGGAGGGUAGGUAAGUCAGUGGUGAAAUCUUCGAGCUUAACUCGGAACUGCCGUUGAUACUAUCUAUCUUGAAUACCGUGGAGGUGAGCGGAAUAUGUCAUGUAGCGGUGAAAUGCUUAGAUAUGACAUAGAACACCAAUUGCGAAGGCAGCUCGCUACACGAAUAUUGACUCUGAGGCACGAAAGCGUGGGGAUCAAACAGGAUUAGAACUACCCGAG
rnacentral:rRNA from 1 species